rnacentral:misc_RNA from 1 species
GAAAUGCGAUAAGUAAUGUGAAUUGCAGAAUUCAGUGAAUCAUCGAGUCUUUGAACGCACAUUGCGCCCCCCGGAAUACCAGAGGGCGCAAUUUGCGUUCAAAGAUUCGAUGAUUCACUGAAUUCUGCAAUUCACAUUACUUAUCGCAUUUCGCUGCGUUCUUCAUCGAUGCCAGUGCUUGCCU